rnacentral:rRNA from 1 species
UGGGGAAUCUUGGACAAUGGGCGCAAGCCUGAUCCAGCCAUGCCGCGUGAGCGAUGAAGGCCUUAGGGUUGUAAAGCUCUUUCACCGGUGAAGAUAAUGACGGUAGCAGGUAAAGAAACCCCGGCUAACUCCGUGCCAGCAGCCGCGGUAAUACGGAGGGGGUUAGCGUUGUUCGGAAUUACUGGGCGUAAAGCGCACGUAGGCGGACCAGAAAGUUGGGGGUGAAAUCCCGGGGGCUCAACCCCGGAACUGCCUCCAAAACUAUUGGUCUAGAGUUCGAGAGAGGUGAGUGGAAUUCCAAGUGUAGAGGUGAAAUUCGUAGAUAUUCGGAGGAACACCAGUGGCGAAGGCGGCUCACUGGCUCGAUACUGACGCUGAGGUGCGAAAAGCGUGGGGGAGCAAAACAGGAUUAGAUACCCUGGUAGUCCACGCCCGUAAAACGAUGAGUGCUAGUCGUCGGCAGGCAUGCCUGUCGGUGACGCAGCUAACGCAUUAAGCACUCCGCCUGGGGAGUACGGCCGCAGGUUAAAAC